GGUGUCACUGAUGAUAUCUUGGCUCCCUCUACUGAAUACUGUGAGGAGAUUGCCAUUGUUACCCAAUUUCUGUCUGAGAUGUA
rnacentral:snoRNA from 1 species